rnacentral:lncRNA from 1 species
AUGCCUGUUUCCUUAAAUAUUUAUCACUUCUUUAUGGAUAAAACACUCAAAAUCCUUCUUCUGGUACAAGAUUGCCACCCUAUUGUGUACUAACACAGCAGAAACUCUUACUCCUGUCUCUGUGUAACUUAGUACUGAUUGAUCGACACUUCUCCAUCCUCCCUCUCCUGACAAUAAAAAACCACACAUUUCCUUUCCCCCUCAGACAGGUGACUUUCUGAAUGGACACUGCAGAGUAAUGCCUGAGUUUAUUAACAGCGAAAACAUCAUUAGGAGCAGCACCCGAGAAUGGAGCUAGGAUGGCAUCGAGUAAUGAAUCCCUUAAAUGUGCAUGCUAAAGAAAAGAGAUGACUCUCUUUGGCCCAUUGCUGAUGCAAGUUCUACGUCAAUGGUGACUUUCCCUACUGUUCCUCACUUAAAGAACCUCCUGCAGCAUUCAACACAGCAAGACAGAGCAGCUGAGUCAGGACUUAACCCCAUAAAAGUCAGUCCCAUUCUCCAGACCUGGCUUGAGGCCUCCAUUUGCAGAGGAGCUCAGGUGAACAUGGCAGCCCUCAUCAAAAUAGUAAAGAAUCACCAAGUGGAAGAUAUCCCCAACCCAGAAAAUAAACCCAUUCUAAAUAAUAGCGAGUUUUACACCAUAAUUUUGCAUUUCCACAGGACUAACAGGAGCUCCAUGAGCACAAGAAUCAUUCAUGUCUGGAUUCCAUUUAUUUCCAUAGUACCUAGCAUCAUGCCAUGUAUAGCAGACAUUCAGUAAAUAUUUGUUGAGUGAAUGAUUCUCAAUAUCUAGAGGGGAUCUUCCAAAAAUAAAGGGCUUAUAUGCUGGGCACUGCACUAUAUACCUUGCAUAAAUUAACUCUGAUGCCAAAGUUUCUUCAUCUGUGAAAUGGACAUAAUUACGAAUAAAUUUGUGGUCACGUGGUAUGAGUUAAGUAACUUAUCCCAAGUCACAUAUCUAACAAAUGGUGAAGUCCAAGUUUGACACAGGCAGUUUGGGUGCUGAAUUUUGGGUAUAAGAUAACAAGGCUAUAGAGACAUCUAAUAGGCCAACUGUCUACUGGUGCUCACACCUCCCAUUGUCACACAAUGUGACAGGUACAGUAACAUCAAGAUGAUAAAUUUUGGUAGCUUGAUGAAGAGGAAAUGCACACCAAACUGCAAGCUUGGGGUGGGAGUGAGCCCUGGCCUCUCCCAUGUAGCAGUCCUAUGGAAAGUUCUGGAUUCAAAGCACUCUAGCACUCUGCUUUUUUUUCCAACCACAUCUUCAUUAGUCCUGUUGCUAAUAAGAGUCAUAAGCCAAUUGUGAGCUCCCUGAAGACAGGGACUAAAUCUUUCCCAUUCAUACUUGAUCUUCAUUGCCUAGCACAAUGCCUGAAAAUAGCAGGUGCUAAAAAAAUUAUGUUGAAUAAAUGAAGAUAUGACUAUGGGAUGAGUGGAGAUUGUUAUCAUUAUUAUUUUAAUGAAAGAGCGUUGAGUGUAACUGUUCAAGAUAUGGGUAAAAAAAGUUAAUGUGGUUUUCUUUUUCAAGUUUUGAAUUAAAUUUUAGAUCUCAGCUUCCAGAAAAGACAAGAGUCAUUAUCUUUAAAGUUCAUGUUGUGCAGUAUGACUUUUGUCUGGAAAAUUUCAGUACAUAUUUUGGAGGAUGCCAGCUGGGGAAGAGGAUUAUUUUUUCCUAAUAAAACUAUACAGACCACUUCAAUUAUCCCUGGGCAAAGGGACUUUGGCUCUCUUCCUUCCUCCAGGCCUCUGCUCAACUCUGACUGCCUUGUGAAAAACCAUGGGAAGCAACAGGACGUGUCUGCUUCUUUCCCUCCUCUAAUAAACUUUGUCAUUUACUGAAAACUGAGAGGCCACCCUCCUUCUUGUAUUAUUAAUGCUCUGGCAGCCUCUUCAAACUGAGCCACCAAAGAGGACUGAAACUAUACUGCCUUCCCAACCCUGGGCUCUCCCACACACAGCACACAUGCAAUGAGGGACACACAAUGCACACAUGUGCAGGUACUCACGACCGCACACAAGUACACACACCCAUCUGUUCCCUGCUUGUGUUGAUCUGGGCCAAUGUGCUUAUGAGAUGGAGGUGGGUUUCUCCCUUUUUGCCUCUUAGAGGGCCUUUGAGGUGCUCUAUUUGCAUUCUGCAGCUAGCUGAGAUCAAAGGUACCCCUCCUCUUCUUUGGGGUAUCUAGUGAAAUACAGAAAACAUCAGAGCCAGCAGCCUUGGCUGAGGGAACGUCCUGCCUAAAGAACAGGAAGAUAUGGCUAGUGCGUCUCCUUUCUGCAGCAUGGGUAGCAGCCUCGGCAUGCUGUGAGCAAGAUGAUCCACAAGCACAGGCAACUUCAAUAGGCUCUCAGUUCAGCCAAAUGUGCCUGGUACACAGUAGGUGUUUAGUAAAUAUGGAUAACUGGAUGGUUAUUCUGCAUGUAUUCCUGUUUUCAUCUCAAGGACCAACAACACCUUGUCACUGCCUUUAUAGGCAAUCACUCACUAUCUUGAACCCCAUGGGAUUUUAAGCACUCUGCUUGUUUUACAGGAAUGGACAUAUUGAAUUGCAAUUACUUGCUUACAUAUUAUUCAUAUUAUUACAUACCAGAGAUUGAACUCAGGACCUUGUGCUUGAAAGGCAGGCUUUGCACUACAGAGCUAAAUCCUCUGCCCUUCUGUUUUACUUUUAAGAAGGUUUUUAUAAGGCAGAAACAUGAUUAGUCAUUUAUGUGUCCCCCAUAUUGUGGUUUAGAUCUAGACUGUUCCACAAAAGUCCUGUGUGUUCAGAAGUGGGCUUUUGGAAGGGAGACGCUAUAUUCCUCAGCUGUUCAUACCUGACUUGCUUAGGAGGUAGGUCCCUGUUGGAGGUGAGUUACUAGGGACAUGACCUGGAAGGGUAUAUGUCCCUCUUUGUUUCACCAUACCCUUUCUGCCUUGGAACCAGCUGACUAUGGGCUGAAAGCUCUAAAAACUAUAAGCCAAAAUAAACCUCUCCUCUUUUAAAUUGUGAGUGUUGAGUAUUUUCUCUCAGCAACAGGGAAGUGACUAACACAUUGUCUUAGUUACUUUUCUCCUGUUUUUGAGACAAAAUAGCCAACACCCAAAACUAAAGAAGAAAAGGUUUAUUUGGCUCCCAGUUUGUAGAGAUUUCAUUUCAUAGUUGGCUGGCUCCAAGGCAGGAUGGCAUCCCAAAGAGGCAUUGCAGAGGAGAAACAGUUCAUGGCAAACAGAAAGCAGAAGGCAGCAAGCAGCAAGCAACAAGAGACAAGCAGGCAUCCUCUUUCUGUCCCUUAUAUUUUAUCUAGGCUACUCACCCUUAGGGCAGGUAGCACUCACACCCAGGGAGGAACAGCCUUAAUUCUAGCAUCUCACCAUGAUUCAAUCCCCAGCAUCACAUCCUUGAUCCCAGCAUCACACACCCUAGAUCGAGCUAGCUCUGAAAAUCUCCACUGAUGACUGCAUGAGGCUUUGAGGGGACAUCUAGACACAAGCAGGAACAGACAUUCAUAUCUACUAAUUACUAAAGUGCAUAGAAUGAUGAUACUACCAGUCAUCCAUAGUUCAGUGGCUAAAAAGCUGCUUCUGGAGCUAGACUGCUAUGGUGUAAAUCCAAGCUCUGACAUUUGCUAGCCAUGUAGACUUGUGGUCAAUUUAUGUAAACUUUGCAUCUUCAUUUUCAUUUUCUUUUAAAAUAGAGGCAUUAAUGUUACCUAUCUCAUAGCUGGUGUGGCAGGGGUUAAUGAAUUAAUUCAUGUAAAGCAGUUGGAACUCAGUGCAAAUUAAGCAUUCAACGAAUACCCAUUUUUAUUUUUUUAUUUAUACCCAUUCUUAUGUUUGACAUUUGUUUUCAAUUUUUAAAGAAAAUGCUAGUUUUUUAUCCCAGUGACUUUGUAGUACUCACAUUAUCUUUCAUCAGUAACAACCCUUGAUUUUUAUUGGGGACUUAUCUUACCCUAAAUCUUAGUCCCUGUGGCUUUCUCAGAGUUAUGUACCAUCCAUCCCUGUUGCCAAAGGCUUGGGAAUCAUUGAAUGUUGUGAAUUUCCCUGGUGCCAUGAUUGGGGCAGAAAUGGAUACUUGACCUUCCCACAUCCAGGAAAGUUGUAUGAAGCUUUUGUUAGGAUUCCAGGGACAGAAAUGGUUGCCUUUACUUAUUGGAUUGAAUAUGGAAAGAUUUGAGUCACUCCUCUUGUCUCACCUCCAAAAUUGUGGAGAUAUCAGACAAGAACAUCAACAUGGAGGACCUUAAAUGACAUGAGAGUCCUCAAUCAAUCCAUAUCAGGAGCCAGCAACACAUCUGGGCUCUUCCUUUUGGGCCUUGUUCCAGUGAUAGCAGCUGCAUAAAAAUUACUCCUAAAUUUAAUGGCUUACAAAAGGCCACAUGUAGUUUGCUCUUGAAUUUACAAUUUGGGCAGAGUUCAGCAGGUAUAGCUUGUGCUUCUUCCAGUAGGGGUCCAAGAUGGUGGCCCAAGGGAUAGACCAUGGGGUCAUCUGAAGGCAUUCUGGCUGAUGUUAGUAAUCAGCUGGGGAGAUUCAGUUCUUGUCCACAUGGAACUCUUCAUUUGCUCUUUCCUCAUGGGCUUCUCUGGGUUUCCUCACAUCUUGGUGAUAGGUUUUUCCCCAAAAAUCAUUUUACCCCACUCCCAAUAUAAGAGGGUCCCAGGCAGAGCUGUACCUGUUUUAUGACCCAGAUUUAUAUAGCACUGUUUCUGCAAGCCUCAUUAGUUGGAGCACUUUCAGAUGAGUUCAAGUCCAAGAGAAUGAGGAGAGCAAUGUUCCAGAAAAGGUCAUGGGACUGGAAAUAUGAACAAAAUAAGUGCUUGUCACCAAAAGAAGUGCCUGUUCCC